rnacentral:rRNA from 1 species
CCUAAUACAUGCAAGUCGAGCGGAAUGAUGAAGAAGCUUGCUUCUUCUGAUUUUAGCGGCGGACGGGUGAGUAACACGUGGGCAACCUACCUUGUAGAUUGGGAUAACUCCGGGAAACCGGGCUAAUACCGAAUAAUCCAUUUUGCUUCAUGGCGAGAUGUUGAAAGACGGUUUCGGCUGUCACUACAAGAUGGGCCCGCGGCGCAUUAGCUAGUUGGUAGGGUAAUGGCCUACCAAGGCGACGAUGCGUAGCCGACCUGAGAGGGUGAUCGGCCACACUGGGACUGAGACACGGCCCAGACUCCUACGGGAGGCAGCAGUAGGGAAUCUUCCACAAUGGACGAAAGUCUGAUGGAGCAACGCCGCGUGAGUGAAGAAGGUUUUCGGAUCGUAAAACUCUGUUGUAAGGGAAGAACACGUACGAGAGUAACUGCUCGUACCUUGACGGUACCUUAUUAGAAAGCCACGGCUAACUACGUG